GAUGAACGCUGGCGACGUGCCUAAUACAUGCAAGUCGAGCGAACGGACGAGAAGCUUGCUUCUCUGAUGUUAGCGGCGGACGGGUGAGUAACACGUGGAUAACCUACCUAUAAGACUGGGAUAACUUCGGGAAACCGGAGCUAAUACCGGAUAAUAUUUUGAACCGCAUGGUUCAAAAGUGAAAGACGGUCUUGCUGUCACUUAUAGAUGGAUCCGCGCUGCAUUAGCUAGUUGGUAAGGUAACGGCUUACCAAGGCAACGAUGCAUAGCCGACCUGAGAGGGUGAUCGGCCACACUGGAACUGAGACACGGUCCAGACUCCUACGGGAGGCAGCAGUAGGGAAUCUUCCGCAAAGGGCGAAAGCCUGACGGAGCAACGCCGCGUGAGUGAUGAAGGUCUUCGGAUCGUAAAACUCUGUUAUUAGGGAAGAACAUAUGUGUAAGUAACUGUGCACAUCUUGACGGUACCUAAUCAGAAAGCCACGGCUAACUACGUG
rnacentral:rRNA from 1 species